rnacentral:rRNA from 1 species
UACGGAGGGUGCAAGCGUUAUCCGGAUUCACUGGGUUUAAAGGGUGCGUAGGUGGGUUGGUAAGUCAGUGGUGAAAUCUCCGAGCUUAACUUGGAAACUGCCAUUGAUACUAUUAAUCUUGAAUAUUGUGGAGGUCAGCGGAAUAUGUCAUGUAGCGGUGAAAUGCUUAGAUAUGACAUAGAACACCGAUAGCGAAGGCAGCUUGCUACACAAUAAUUGACACUGAGGCACGAAAGCGUGGGGAUCAAACAGG